GACAGAUAGUCUAGCUAGCUGUCUGGAUUUACCCUGCAGAGAUCUGAGGAGCAGUUAACCAUAGUCCUCAGAAAUCCACCGGAGUUUAGAAUUCCAACACAAACAAAGUGGAAGGUGACAAACAUCCGGCC